UUUUGGCUUAGUUAGGAGGCAGAAACUAAAUCUUUUGAUGCUUUCAAUUAAGGCCUUCUGAAAGAACUCUUUUUUGUUCUUCUUCAUCAAUUGUCCUUCAAGCAUCUUUUGGACACCC
rfam:Solanum tuberosum cultivar DM 1-3 516 R44 scf00379_18, whole genome shotgun sequence.